UACGAAGGGGGCUAGCGUUGUUCGGAAUUACUGGGCGUAAAGCGCACGUAGGCGGAUAUUUAAGUCAGGGGUGAAAUCCUGGAGCUCAACUCCAGAACUGCCUUUGAUACUGGCGAUCUCGAGUCCGGGAGAGGUGAGUGGAACUGCGAGUGUAGAGGUGAAAUUCGUAGAUAUUCGCAAGAACACCAGUGGCGAAGGCGGCUCACUGGCCCGGUACUGACGCUGAGGUGCGAAAGCGUGGGGAGCAAACAGG
rnacentral:rRNA from 1 species